GGCGAGGUAGCUCAGUUGGUAGAGCAAAGGACUCAUAAGCCUUGGGUCGAGGGUUCGAGCCCCUCCUUCGCCACCA
rnacentral:tRNA from 2 species